rnacentral:sRNA from 1 species
AGAGAGAGAGAGAGAGAGAGAGAGAGAGUGAGAGAGAGAGAGAGAGUUUAAGUUGUAGUGUUUUUGCUUGUAUAAUGGAAUGUAUAU